AUGUGCAGUGUCCUCCAGCUUUGGGGGGACUGUACCCCAACGUCCCAUGUCCCCUUGCUGAAGCGCACACUCCUCUGUGCAGUGCCGGGCUGUGGACAGGGCUCUGGGCCGGGGUCGAGUGGUUCCUGUCUCCUGCUGGCAUUCUCAGCUUCCCUGGUCUCAGAGGGUGGUUCCUCGGUCUUCUGGAAGGUGCCGGCGUGUCCUAGGGUGAGUCCUGCCUCAUGCUCUUGCCUGGUGAGAAAGCCGCAUGUGGCCUUGCUGGCAGGGCACAUUGCUGAUCUGUUAAACUGGCCCUCCUUCCAGAACUUCCCAGGCAGCUGCGGGCCACAGGCCGAGCGUGCCUUUUGCCUGCACAGUGGCCGCCAGCGCUGCCCGGUUGAAUCACGGGGCAGCACAGGGGGACUGUCUUGGCUGCAUCUGGUAUUCAAGAUGAUUUUGAGCCUCAAAAACAGAGACCGUCAACAAGAAAAAGACCACCUAGUUCCCAAAUGGGCAAAGAACCGAACUGAUGUUUCUCUCAAGAGGAGCCAGCCGGAGAUGGGGGCUGGAGGUUCCUGA
rnacentral:lncRNA from 1 species